GGAAGUGUGCCCGAACUAAUCAAGGAAUACUUUGAUAGAGUAUAUGAUAAGGGUGAGACCCCCUUCUCUUCCC
rnacentral:tRNA from 1 species